AAUAUUGGACAAUGGGGGCAACCCUGAUCCAGCCAUGCCGCGUGGGUGAAGAUGGUCUUCGGAUUGUAAAGCACUUUAAGUUGGGAGGAAGGGCUUUAGGCUAAUACCCUUAAGUUUUGACGUUACCAACAGAAUAGCCACCGGCAAGCUCUUUCCCAGCAGCCGCGGUAAUACAGAGGGUGCAAGAGUUAAUCGGAAUUACUGGGCGUAAAGCGAGAGUAGGUGGUUCCGUAAGAUGAGUGUGAAAUCCCCGGGCUUAACCUGGGAACUGCUUUCAUAACUGCUGAGCUAGAGUACGGUAGAGGGUAGUGGAAUUUCCUGUGUAGCGGUGAAAUGCGUAGAUAUAGGAAGGAACACCAGUGGCGAAGGCGACUACCUGGACUGAUACUGACACUGAGGUGCGAAAGCGUGGGGAGCAAACA
rnacentral:rRNA from 1 species